rnacentral:lncRNA from 1 species
AGAAUAUCUGAUAAAUUAUACUUCCCAAUGCCAUUAUAACAGAUAUAUAGUCAAUGGUGAGAUGGGAAAGAUAGAGGAAUGGAGACCUUAGUGAGCAAUGGAGGGAUGUAGAAGUAGAGACUAGAGACUCCGCAGUGGUGAGAGGUGAGGCAGAAAGAAGCCUGUGAUAGACAGGGUGGUGUGCGGCAGUCUGGAACUUGUGCUCACAUCAGACCCAGAAAAUGCUACCCAGCCCCACAUUUCGCCAGGUUCUGAGCAACUACAGUAUGUCCAAGCUGUGUGCCUGAUCCUCAGCCUGGCACCUAGCCUGCUGCCUUUCA